rnacentral:SRP_RNA from 1 species
GCCAAGUGUGAUGGCACGUGUCUGUAGUUCCAGCUACCUGAGAGGCUGAAGUGGGAGGAUCACUUGAGCCCAGGAGUUCUGGGCUGUAGUGCACUAUGCCAAUCAGGUGUCCACACUAAGUUUGGCAUCAAUAUGAUGACCUCCUCGGAACAGGGGACCACCAGGUUGCCUUAGGAGGAGUGAACCAGCCCAGUUCUGAAAUGGAGCAGAUCAAAACUCCUUUGUUGGUCAGUAGUUGGAUCAUACCCAUGAAUAGCCACUGUACUCUCCAGCCUGGGCAACGUAGUGAGACCCUGUCUCU